rnacentral:rRNA from 1 species
UACGUAGGGGGCUAGCGUUGUCCGGAUUUAUUGGGCGUAAAGAGCUCGUAGGCGGUUUGUUGCGUCGGCUGUGAAAUCCCGAGGCUCAACCUCGGGUCUGCAGUCGAUACGAGCAAACUAGAGUGUUGCAGGGGAGACUGGAAUUCCUGGUGUAGCGGUGAAAUGCGCAGAUAUCAGGAGGAACACCGGUGGCGAAGGCGGGUCUCUGGGCAUGACCUGACGCUGAGGAGCGAAAGUGUGGGGAGCGAACAGG